AUGAACGCUAGCUACAGGCUUAACACAUGCAAGUCGAGGGGCAGCAUGGUCUUAGCUUGCUAAGGCCGAUGGCGACCGGCGCACGGGUGAGUAACACGUAUCCAACCUGCCGUCUACUCUUGGACAGCCUUCUGAAAGGAAGAUUAAUACAAGAUGGCAUCAUGAGUCCGCAUGUUCACAUGAUUAAAGGUAUUCCGGUAGACGAUGGGGAUGCGUUCCAUUAGAUAGUAGGCGGGGUAACGGCCCACCUAGUCUUCGAUGGAUAGGGGUUCUGAGAGGAAGGUCCCCCACAUUGGAACUGAGACACGGUCCAAACUCCUACGGGAGGCAGCAGUGAGGAAUAUUGGUCAAUGGGCGAGAGUCUGAACCAGCCAAGUAGCGUGAAGGAUGACUGCCCUAUGGGUUGUAAACUUCUUUUAUAAAGGAAUAAAGUCGGGUAUGCAUACCCGUUUGCAUGUACUUUAUGAAUAAGGAUCGGCUAACUCCGUGCCAGCAGCCGCGGUAAUACGGAGGAUCCGAGCGUUAUCCGGAUUUAUUGGGUUUAAAGGGAGCGUAGAUGGAUGUUUAAGUCAGUUGUGAAAGUUUGCGGCUCAACCGUAAAAUUGCAGUUGAUACUGGAUAUCUUGAGUGCAGUUGAGGCAGGCGGAAUUCGUGGUGUAGCGGUGAAAUGCUUAGAUAUCACGAAGAACUCCGAUUGCGAAGGCAGCCUGCUAAGCUGCAACUGACAUUGAGGCUCGAAAGUGUGGGUAUCAAACAGGAUUAGAUACCCUGGUAGUCCACACGGUAAACGAUGAAUACUCGCUGUUUGCGAUAUACAGCAAGCGGCCAAGCGAAAGCGUUAAGUAUUCCACCUGGGGAGUACGCCGGCAACGGUGAAACUCAAAGGAAUUGACGGGGGCCCGCACAAGCGGAGGAACAUGUGGUUUAAUUCGAUGAUACGCGAGGAACCUUACCCGGGCUUAAAUUGCAGAUGAAUUACGGUGAAAGCCGUAAGCCGCAAGGCAUCUGUGAAGGUGCUGCAUGGUUGUCGUCAGCUCGUGCCGUGAGGUGUCGGCUUAAGUGCCAUAACGAGCGCAACCCUUGUUGUCAGUUACUAACAGGUUCUGCUGAGGACUCUGACAAGACUGCCAUCGUAAGAUGUGAGGAAGGUGGGGAUGACGUCAAAUCAGCACGGCCCUUACGUCCGGGGCUACACACGUGUUACAAUGGGGGGUACAGAGGGCCGCUACCACGCGAGUGGAUGCCAAUCCCAAAAACCUCUCUCAGUUCGGACUGGAGUCUGCAACCCGACUCCACGAAGCUGGAUUCGCUAGUAAUCGCGCAUCAGCCACGGCGCGGUGAAUACGUUCCCGGGCCUUGUACACACCGCCCGUCAAGCCAUGGGAGCCGGGGGUACCUGAAGUGCGUAACCGCGAGGAGCGCCCUAGGGUAAAACUGGUGACUGGGGCU
rnacentral:rRNA from 1 species